CCUACGGGAGGCAGCAGUGGGGGAUAUUGCACAAUGGGGGGAACCCUGAUGCAGCGACGCCGCGUGGGUGAAGGAGUGCUUCGGCAUGUAAAGCCCUAUCGGCAGGGAAGAAGCAAGACGGUACCUGACUAAGAAGCCCCGGCUAACUACGUGCCAGCAGCCGCGGUAAUACGUAGGGGGCGAGCGUUAUCCGGAUUCACUGGGUGUAAAGGGAGCGUAGACGGCCAUGCAAGCCAGGGGUGAAAGCCCGGGGCCCAACCCCGGGACUGCCCUUGGAACUGCAUGGCUGGAGUGCGGGAGGGGCAGGCGGAAUUCCUGGUGUAGCGGUGAAAUGCGUAGAUAUCAGGAGGAACACCGGCGGCGAAGGCGGCCUGCUGGACCGCGACUGACGUUGAGGCUCGAAAGCGUGGGGAGCGAACAGGAUUAGAUACCCCGGUAG
rnacentral:rRNA from 1 species